rnacentral:rRNA from 1 species
AUUGAACGCUCGCGGCAGGCCUAACACAUGCAAGUCGAGCGAGUGGCGGACGGGUGAGUAAUGUAUGUGGAUCUGCCUGAUAGAGGGGGAUAACUACUGGAAACGGUGGCUAAUACCGCAUACCAUCCGAUGAACCCAUGUGGGAUUAGCUAGUAGGUGGGGUAAAGGCUCACCUAGGCCACGAUCUCUAGCUGGUCUGAGCGGAUGAUCAGCACCACUGGGACUGCGACACGGCCCAGACUCCUACGGGAGGCAGCAGUGGGGAAUAUUGCACAAUGAGCGCAAGCCUGAUGCAGCCAUGCCGGGUGUAUGAAGAAGGCCUUAGGGUUGUAAAGUACUUUCAGCGGGGAGGCGUUACCCGCAGAAGAAGCGCCGGCUAACUCCGUGCCAGCCACCGCGGUAAUAC